rnacentral:rRNA from 1 species
AGUGAACGCUGGCGGUAGGCCUAACACAUGCAAGUCGAACGGCAGCACAGUAAGAGCUUGCUCUUACGGGUGGCGAGUGGCGGACGGGUGAGGAAUACAUCGGAAUCUACUUUUUCGUGGGGGAUAACGUAGGGAAACUUACGCUAAUACCGCAUACGACCUUCGGGUGAAAGCAGGGGAUCUUCGGACCUUGCGCGAUUGAAUGAGCCGAUGUUGGAUUAGCUAGUUGGCGGGGUAAAGGCCCACCAAGGCGGCGAUCCGUAGCUGGUCUGAGAGGAUGAUCGGCCACACUGGAACUGAGACACGGUCCAGACUCCUACGGGAGGCAGCAGUGGGGAAUAUUGGACAAUGGGCGCAAGCCUGAUCCAGCCAUACCGCGUGGGUUAAGAAGGCCUUCGGGUUGUAAAGCCCUUUUGUUGGGAAAGAAAAGCAGCAGGUUAAUACCCCGCGGUUCUGACGGUACCCAAAGAAUAAGCACCGGCUAACUUCGUG